GUCUUCCUGCGAUUGAACAAGUCUGACCUGUCACCUCUGACAGCUGGUGACCAGCUGCUCUGAGCAGCUCUCCAGCCUUAGGACUCUCUGGACAAGCCUGGACUUGUCGGCUAACAUUCCAGGCACCCCCGCAAAGACAGAUGUUCUACCUUGGGUUUUUGCUCAAGCGGUUCCCAAGCCAAAGACGUCCUCCCUCAUCGCCCUUUUCUCUCCCCAGGGUUAAGGCCCUCCUGGCUGGCCCUCUCAUGUUCACCCCUGCGAGUCCGCGACCGCCCAAGCUCCAGAGCUGACGCCUCCACUUAGCACCCCGCGUUCGCCCGGCCUCUGCCCGGAGUUCUCGAAGCUCUCGCUCCAGGCUGAAUAUGCGUGAUUUCCCGUCCCGGGUCCAAGUCCAACCUUGGAGUUGCCGGCUCAGUUCUGAGGGGCUUCUCACAGUCUCUGCUCUCUGAGAAAUCUCCAUUCCGGUCAUCCUUCAGAGUCUUCAAGAACUCGCUCUUCCUGUCAGUAGUUCGGC